CUCUUUAUCUGAAAAAGACAAAAUCAUGAAUAAUGAGAACUAAAAUUUCUUUUAGCAUGCUUGUGCUCCUAAAGGAACCCGCAAUAAUCUCCUAGCUUCAACAGUCAUAGAACCUGGCUACCAACUGUCAUUCCUAUUCUCCAGUUGUUUUAAUGUUUGUCUGCAUACCAAGUAGUAGAACUACUACAGCUUCUCUAGAGAUAUAGAUAUCAAGUCUAUCCUGGAAAUACAGAUUUCAGUACUGCCCCUUAGAUAGUGGGAAGAUUUAAGAUUUAAAGGAAGGACUGGGGUCUUCAAAUACCAGAUGUCCAAGGCCCUUGCAGGAUCAUUAACCCAUCCUUGUCACCAGAUCACUUCACCAAAGCCAGCACUAGGACAGGACUAGCAUGACUAUUUUCCUGUUACAAGGCUUUGUUGAAAGAGGGCCAUAUUUGCCCUCUUAUUUUGUUCAAAUCACUGUUCCAGGACAACAGCUUCACUGUUACAAUGCCCUGACCACUGAUGACUACUUGGAUUGCCUUUUCAUGACAUCCCAAUUUGGGAGCCAGGGCUUUCAUCUUCAAGAUCCCUAUGCCCUAACAUCUGGAUUGGAUGCUCCAAAUGUGCUCUCGUUGGCCCCAACUAUGAGGCCUGAAUAACUAUUCCUGUGAUGUAAGAACCAGAGCCACAGCUAAUCCUUCACCAUGUCUGGACCACUGGGCCAAGGGAAUAAUUGCCUAUUUUCUAUGCCUUGGCUAUCCAACUGAAAGUCCAAUGGGCUCUGAUUACAAAGCUAGGAAUAUAUCUAGUUCAUCACAACAUCCAGAUCAGCCACCUUGAAGUUCUACUGGCCUAAAUCAGUGAGCAACAAUUUUAUUAGACAUCAACAACAUGACAAACUUUACCUUAACUGAUGGCUCAUACCUCAGUCACAUCCCAACCAUCAGGCCAACAAUCUGUCUGGACUAAUGCGCCAUAUUGAGGCUGUCCAUUGCUCCUACCAGGACAAAUUCUCAUUAGACAUUGACCAGGAUGCCAGUUUACCAGGGCCCCAUGCCUUGGGCUGAGGCUCCCAUUUUUCCCACAUAUGGAUCACUGAGUGAUUAUUCCAUGGGAUUUGAACUUCUGAUCUGAGGUUUACCUGAGCUUAAAGUGAAGACCAUGACAACCUUAAGGUUUCAUUGAGCAUAGCUUAUUGAACCACACCCCAAAUGGCAACUUCAAUAGAUCCUGGGAACAAGACUUCAGCAUUAUAACCCAAACUUCAGGUCAAGAAUUUCCUGAACCCCAAAUGUCAAACUUCAAUGACAUUAAGACUUGAAGAAUAAACCAAGAUUGCACCAAACCUACCAUCCAUUAUCUACUGGAAUUAUCUAGAUCUAACCUACAUUAGGUCUGAAAUAUCAGUCUGGGAUUAUAUUGGACCAGGACCAAAAGAUGAGAGUCCACAUGCCUUCACAGUUCCUACCCCAACCCUCCCAUCCACCCAUAUGGGGGAGGAGAAAGUACCUUAAGAAGCAAUCUAGUUUAACUCCUUUAUUGUACAAGUGAAGAAACUGAGCCUGAGACAACUUAAAUGACUGGGUUAAGGCCAUACUUUUAACGCAAUAUUUGAAUACAAUGACUGGAGAGUAAAUCCUGCUUCCUGGGGACAGGAAAAGAGUCUGGAAAGAAGAGAAUUCCAUAAGACAAGACUUAAAGAAGGAAUAAGAAUCUUCUUCAAUCAACUGAUAUCAAGUAUACUACAGCUAUCUUUGCAAGGGAUUGCAAGAUUCCUUACCCGGGAGAAAAACAUAGGAAACCCUCUGAAAAUGAAGUUUUUUCUGACACAAGAAAUAUCUCCAAAUGUAUGUGAGCUUCUAGCAAACUCAAAUUGGGCAGUUUUGGAGAGAGUUUGUUUCUUCUUUCUUCCAGAAAGGACAAUGGGGGGAGAGAUUUCAUAAGAGGUUGACACAGGAGCACAGAGGCUAACAGAGACAAUGAUUCACAAUUCCAGAUAAUCAAGAAAGGGAGAUAAAGAUUGGAACAGGAGGACUGAAUUGGGAAGAGGUCAGGAUACAUCUUGUUUUGAGUAACCACAACAGUGCUCCAUUGCUGCUAUCUCUGCCACCAUGAGAAACAUUUUUGGAAUAUAAUUAUCAUCACUAGGAACUGUUCAUUUGAAAAAAAAAUUAUACAAAUAGUGACAUACAAAUAGUUUCCUGUUUCCCCAUGUCCUGUCCUAGAAGGCUUCUAUUAAAUUCCAAAUCUCUUUAAAAUUUGUUUAUAUUUGUUUA